CCUACGGGCGGCAGCAGUGAGGAAUAUUGGUCAAUGGACGAGAGUCUGAACCAGCCAAGUAGCGUGAAGGAUGACUGCCCUAUGGGUUGUAAACUUCUUUUAUAUGGGAAUAAAACGUUCCACGUGUGGGAUUUUGUAUGUACCAUAUGAAUAAGGAUCGGCUAACUCCGUGCCAGCAGCCGCGGUAAUACGGAGGAUCCGAGCGUUAUCCGGAUUUAUUGGGUUUAAAGGGAGCGUAGGUGGAUUGUUAAGUCAGUUGUGAAAGUGUGCGGCUCAACCGUAAAAUUGCAGUUGAAACUGGCAGUCUUGAGUACAGUAGAGGUGGGCGGAAUUCGUGGUGUAGCGGUGAAAUGCUUAGAUAUCACGAAGAACUCCGAUUGCGAAGGCAGUUCACUGGACUGCAACUGACACUGAGGCUCGAAAGUGUGGGUAUCAAACAGGAUUAGAUACCCCAGUAGUC
rnacentral:rRNA from 1 species